ensembl:lncRNA
UUGGGCUAACUUUAACUGUCCCUUAUACAUAUAAAUUAGGCUAUAAACUCAUCAUCAAAUAUGAUUAAUUGAGUUAUAGACUAUACCCCCCCCCCCCAUUUGUUAAGCAAACUUAGGUACAAUGAAAGGCGCUAUAUAAGUUCAAGUUGUUAUUAACUAAGCUGUUAGGUGUAGUGCCAUAUUUAAUUUGACCAGUAGUUGAUUAUCUAGUGUUCUCAUUCUGUAUUUUCACCCUCAACCACCCUACACUUUAGGAACCAAUGUCGUAUAGAGAGGAAUGUGUACAGGUGUACAGGUAAUUGCAUUUGUUAGAAAUGGCAAUGUAUGGGAAAUCGCUACCAGAACAGCAAACUGUACAGCGAGGCAACCCAAAGAAAUCCGCUUUCUUAUUUAGUUGUAUUGGUGACCAUUGUUUAAAGUACGGAGACUGGAGUAAUCCUUCUAAUGUGUAGGCUAUUUUAACCCCUCCCAAAAAUAAAAAUAAAAAAUGCCUGAGACACCGUGCCCUGAUGUUAGUGACUAACCAGCCAAAGACCAGAAAAAUUAGCCAACUUUUAUAUCAUUUCAUUGUAUUAUUAUUGUGAAUUUAUGUCUCUUUCCAAACAGAUAUGCCAGGACCUGGUUCAACUACUAAGAAAUGUGCGUCUUGUUCUAUGCCACUCAAUGUGGCUUGCAAGACGUGCAAGUACUGCAAAGCAGCGCAGCCCCACAAUCUGCGUUUGAAAAAAAAAAUAGAAAGGUUUGAUUUGAAAUCAGAGACAUGGGGCCAGGCCCAGAAAAAGAAUAACACUUCAUCCCACCUGAGGGAUGACGCUUCUUUGUUGCUGGAAAGGUUUCAAGCCCUUGGCUCCAGGGGUGUGUUAUUUAUAUCCCGCCCUGGAACUAAAUCGUGGACCUGUGAGGUUCUUCUGCCCAGAUGUAAAGUCACUGAGGCAGCAUCUGCCUGCCUAAAGAGGAUGGAGGCGUUGUUUGAAUUUGUUGUGCAAGGUUGGAGUCAGGCAGAGAAAGUAGCAGCCUCAGCAGCAGAGAUCCCACAGCCUCCUGUGGACAACUCACUGGCCACAUCAAGUUAUUAUGGAGCCCCUACUCUUCCCAUUCCUACCCCUCCAGCCCCUACUCUUGCCAUUCCUACCCCUCCCGCCCCUACCCUUCCCAUUCCUACUCUUCCCAUUCCUACCCCUCCCUCCCCUCCUCUUCCCAUUCCUACCCCUCCAGCCCCUACUAUUACCAUUCCUACCCCUCCAGCCCCUACUCUUGACUUUCCUACUCCUCCAGCCCCUACUCUUGACAUUCCUACCCCUCCCGCCCCUACUCUUUACCUUCCUACCCCUCCAGCCCCUACUCUUCCUAUUCCUACUCUUCCCAUUCCUACCCCUCCCUCCCCUCCUCUUCCCAUUCCUACCCCUCCAGCCCCUACUAUUCCCAUUCCUACCCCUCCAGCUCCUACUUUUGACUUUCCUACCCCUCCAGCCCCUACUCUUCCCACUCCUUCUCUUCCCAUUCCUACCCCUCCAGCUCCUACUUUUGACUUUCCUACCCCUCCAGCCCCUACUCUUCCCCUUCCUACUCUUCCCAUUCCUACCCCUCCAGCGCCUACUCUUGCCAUUCCUCCCCCUCCAGCCCCUACUCUUCCCAUUCCUUCCCCUCCAGCCCCUACUCUUCCCAUUCCUCCCCCUCCCGCCCCUACCCUUCCCGUCCCUACCCCUCCAGCCCCUACUCUUCCCAUCCCUACCCCUCCAGCCCCUACUCUUCCUAUUCCUACUAUUCCCAUUCCUACCCCUCCAGGGCCUACUCUUGCCAUCCCUGCUCCUGGAGGAAACAAGAGGAAGAAGAAGAAUGAUUGCUCUCACAGCAGCCAGGAGGUAUACAAGGGAGAUAUUUUGAAGGAACGAGUUAAAGAGGGAAGGAAGGAAUACCUUCUGAAAUGGCACCCUUGCAGUUUAUGUGGAAAAAAAUGGAGAAGCACCUGGGUGGAGGAGGAUUCCUUCCUUAUGUAGUGUGUGUGUGUGUGUGUGUGUGUGUGUUUGCUUUGGACUUAUACACACACUUGCUGCCCAGCCAUGACAUUAGAGCCAGGCAGUUAAAAGCUAAAUUAUUAGCGUUCAGAUAAAUGGAGGUUGCAUUUGGUGCAAUUUAUUCUCAUUAAUUAUUUAGCGGCCAGGCCCUCACAUUAUGCAGUUCAGAUACUUAAUAGGAGC